rnacentral:rRNA from 1 species
GAUGAACGCUGGCGGCGUGCCUAAUACAUGCAAGUCGAGCGAAAGGACGAGAAAAUUGCUUCACGGAUGUUAGAGGCGGACGGGAGAGUAACACGUGGAUAAACUACCUAUAAGAAUGGGAUAACUACGGGAAACCGGAGCUAAUACCGGAUAAUAUUGUGAACCGCAGGGCUCAAAAGUGAAAGACGGUCUUGCUGUCACUUAUAGAUGGAUUAGCGCUGCAUUCGGUAGUUGGUAAGGUAAAGGCUUACCAAGGCAACGAUGAGUACCGGGUCUGAGAGGAAGACCAGCGACACUUGAACUGAGACACGGCCAGUACUCCGACGGGAGGCAGCAGUGGGGAAUUUUGGACAAGGGGCGCAAGCCUGAUCCAGCAAUGCCGAGUGCAGGAAGAAGGCCUUCGGGUUGUAAACUGCUUGUGUUCGGAACGAACCGGAUCUGGUUAAUACCCGGGGCUCAUGACGGUACCGGAAGAAUAAGCACCGGCUAACUACGUG